rnacentral:ncRNA from 1 species
AAUAACCAAAUAUAAUACUUGGACUAAGGGUAACGUUGGUGAUUUUUCUUACAUUUCCGCCUCCUGGAGCCCAAGUAUCAUAUAUGCCCCCAAAAUAAAGAGCCUUAAAUACUAGAAGAAAAGCGCCUAUACCUAACAAU